GACGAACCGUGCGAACGUUUAUUCGGAAUCACUGGGCUUAAAGGGCGCGUAGGCGGUCCACCAAGUCAGGGGUGAAAUCUUUCAGCUUAACUGGAAAAGUGCCUUUGAUACUGGUGGACUCGAGCGAGGUAGGGGCAGAUGGAACCGUGGGUGGAGCGGUGAAAUGUGUAGAUAUCCAUGGGAACGCCGGUGGCGAAAGCGAUCUGCUGGACCUCUUCUGACGCUGAGGCGCGAAAGCCAGGGGAGCAAACGGG
rnacentral:rRNA from 1 species